rnacentral:lncRNA from 14 species
CUGAGAUCAAGAGCAACAACUUUGAGAGGCAAUAAAUCAGCAUUGUGACAAGUGACUAUUAAUCUGAAACAAUAAAUGUUUAACACAAAUACAAUUUGACAACCUCUGGUCAGAUCUGUCGUUACCUCAACCCUUCAGGCCCCACGUUGUGCACCACAAAGAACUGUUGUGGUUUAAGCCCAGCCAGUAACUGAGAAUCAUGCAGCCACUUGCUCACUCCCCUCUUCUUCCUCCCCCUGCUCCCACAGGGAUGGGGAGGAGAAUCAAAAGAAUAUAACUCCCACAGGUUGAGACAAGAACAGUCCAGUAACUAAGGUAUAACACAAAACCACUACUGCUACCACCAAUAAUAAUAAUAUGAUUCUAUAAUUCUAUGAUAAGGAAAAUAACAAGGGAAGAGGAUGCAACCACUCACCACCCAUCGAUUGAUACCCAGCCCAACCCGAGGAAUGAUCUAGCCCUUCCAGGUAGCUCCACCCAGUUUAUAUACUGGGCAUGAUAUGCUGUGGUAUGGAAUAUCCCUUUGGUUAGUUUCGGUCAGGUGUCCUGUCUCUACUUACUCCUGGCUUCCCCUCCUCCCUGGCAGAGUAUGAGACUCACAAAGUCCUUGGUCAGAGUAAACAUUACUUAGCAGUAACUAAAAACAUCAGUGUUAUCAGCGCUGUUCCCAGGCUGAAAGUCAAAACCACAGCACUGCACCAGCUACUAAGAAGGAGAAAAAAUGAUUGCUACAGCUGAGCCCAGGAUAGGUGUAAAUCCUUGUGGCUUAAAGAGGUGACCCAAGACCUUUGCAAGUUAAAUCUCUAUUCAGUGAAACUCACAGAUCCCUCUACGGAGAUCUGCCUUUAUCUCAACACCAGCUUUCAACCCUUCAGGGAUUAUGCGAGUGAUGGACAGAGACCCAGGUGUCUUGAGGUGAAGAGCAGGAGAGUGGUCAGUCUGAUCAAAGCCUAUGGGGACAUGAGGAAGGGGACUUCAGUGGAGCAAGAACUACACAGGAAGCAUAGGAAUGGG